UGGGGAAUAUUGCACAAUGGGCGCAAGCCUGAUGCAGCCAUGCCGCGUGUGUGAAGAAGGCCUUCGGGUUGUAAAGCACUUUCAGCGAGGAGGAAGGUGGUGAGCUUAAUACGCUCAUCAAUUGACGUUACUCGCAGAAGAAGCACCGGCUAACUCCGUGCCAGCAGCCGCGGUAAUACGGAGGGUGCAAGCGUUAAUCGGAAUUACUGGGCGUAAAGCGCACGCAGGCGGUUUGUUAAGUCAGAUGUGAAAUCCCCGGGCUCAACCUGGGAACUGCAUUUGAAACUGGCAAGCUAGAGUCUCGUAGAGGGGGGUAGAAUUCCAGGUGUAGCGGUGAAAUGCGUAGAGAUCUGGAGGAAUACCGGUGGCGAAAGGCGGCCCCCCUGGACGAAGACUGACGCUCAGGUGCGAAAAGCGUGGGGAGCAAAACAGGAUUAGAUACCCUGGUAGUCCACGCUGUAAAACGAUGUCGAUUUUGGAGGUUGUGCCCCUUGAGGCGUGGCUUCCGGAGCUAACGCGUUAAAUCGACCGCC
rnacentral:rRNA from 1 species